GAUUACCCGCUGAACUUAAG
rnacentral:rRNA from 1 species